rnacentral:rRNA from 1 species
UUUAAUUAAUAAAAAAUUUUAAAAUAUUAAAUGUUAAAUCAUUAAAUUUAAAAGACUUGGCGGUGUUUUAUAUGAUUAGAGGAACCUGUAAUUUAAUUGAUAAUCCACGAUAAGAAAAACUUAAUUUUAAAAUUUAUGUAUUGCUGUUUUAAAAAUUUAAUUAAGUAAAAAUUUUAUAAUUAUAAAUUUAAUUAAAUUCAAGUCAAAAUAUAGUUUAAUUAAGUAUUAUAUGGGUUACAAUUUAUUUUAAUUAUUGAGUAAUUUAAUUUAAUUUAAAUUAUAAAUAGUAUUUAACAGUAAAGUUAAUAAAUUAAUUAAUUUGAAAAUGUGAUAUAAAAUGUGU